GACGAACGCUGGCGGCGUGCUUAACACAUGCAAGUCGAACGGAAAGGCCCUUCGGGGUACUCGAGUGGCGAACGGGUGAGUAACACGUGGGUGAUCUGCCCUGCACUUUGGGAUAAGCCUGGGAAACUGGGUCUAAUACCGAAUAGGACCACGCGCUUCAUGGUGUGUGGUGGAAAGCUUUUGCGGUGUGGGAUGGGCCCGCGGCCUAUCAGCUUGUUGGUGGGGUAAUGGCCUACCAAGGCGACGACGGGUAGCCGGCCUGAGAGGGUGACCGGCCACACUGGGACUGAGAUACGGCCCAGACUCCUACGGGAGGCAGCAGUGGGGAAUAUUGCACAAUGGGCGCAAGCCUGAUGCAGCGACGCCGCGUGAGGGAUGACGGCCUUCGGGUUGUAAACCUCUUUCAAUAGGGACGAAGCGCAAGUGACGGUACCUAUAGAAGAAGCACCGGCCAACUACGUGCCAGCAGCCGCGGUAAUACGUAGGGUGCGAGCGUUGUCCGGAAUUACUGGGCGUAAAGAGCUCGUAGGUGGUUUGUCGCGUUGUUCGUGAAAACUCACAGCUUAACUGUGGGCGUGCGGGCGAUACGGGCAGACUAGAGUACUGCAGGGGAGACUGGAAUUCCUGGUGUAGCGGUGGAAUGCGCAGAUAUCAGGAGGAACACCGGUGGCGAAGGCGGGUCUCUGGGCAGUAACUGACGCUGAGGAGCGAAAGCGUGGGGAGCGAACAGGAUUAGAUACCCUGGUAGUCCACGCCGUAAACGGUGGGUACUAGGUGUGGGUUCCUUCCUUGGGAUCCGUGCCGUAGCUAACGCAUUAAGUACCCCGCCUGGGGAGUACGGCCGCAAGGCUAAAACUCAAAGGAAUUGACGGGGGCCCGCACAAGCGGCGGAGCAUGUGGAUUAAUUCGAUGCAACGCGAAGAACCUUACCCGGGUUUGACAUGCACAGGACGCCGGCAGAGAUGUCGGUUCCCUUGUGGCCUGUGUGCAGGUGGUGCAUGGCUGUCGUCAGCUCGUGUCGUGAGAUGUUGGGUUAAGUCCCGCAACGAGCGCAACCCUUGUCCUAUGUUGCCAGCGGGUUAUGCCGGGGACUCGUAGGAGACUGCCGGGGUCAACUCGGAGGAAGGUGGGGAUGACGUCAAGUCGUCAUGCCCCUUAUGUCCAGGGCUUCACACAUGCUACAAUGGCCGGUACAAAGGGCUGCGAUGCCGUGAGGUGGAGCGAAUCCUUUCAAAGCCGGUCUCAGUUCGGAUCGGGGUCUGCAACUCGACCCCGUGAAGUCGGAGUCGCUAGUAAUCGCAGAUCAGCAACGCUGCGGUGAAUACGUUCCCGGGCCU
rnacentral:rRNA from 1 species